CCUACGGGAGGCAGCAGUGGGGAAUAUUGCACAAUGGGGGAAACCCUGAUGCAGCGACGCCGCGUGAAGGAAGAAGGUCUUCGGAUCGUAAACUUCUAUCAGCAGGGAAGAAGGAAGUGACGGUACCUGACUAAGAAGCCCCGGCUAACUACGUGCCAGCAGCCGCGGUAAUACGUAGGGGGCAAGCGUUAUCCGGAAUCACUGGGUGUAAAGGGUGCGUAGGCGGUAGGGCAAGUCAGAUGUGAAAGCCCGGAGCUCAACUCCGGGAUUGCAUUUGAAACUGUCUUACUAGAGUGCAGGAGAGGAAGGCGGAAUUCGUGGGGUAGCGGUGAAAUGCGUAGAUAUUAGGAAGAACCCCAGGGGGGAGGGGGGUUUUCUGGACUGUAACUGACGCUGAGGCACGAAAGCGUGGGGAGCGAAAAGGAUUAGAUACCCGUGUAGUC
rnacentral:rRNA from 1 species